AUACUUACCUGGCUGGGGAAUUACCAUAAUUAUGAAGGUGGUUUUCCUAGAAUGAGGCUCAUCUGUUGCACUCUAUUUUCGCCGACCCCUGCAAUUUCCCCAAAUGUGGGAAACCCAAUUGCAUAAAUUGUGGUAGCAAGGGCCUGCAUUUGGGCUAUCCUCUG